rnacentral:rRNA from 1 species
UACAGAGGGUGCGAGCGUUGUCCGGAAUUACUGGGCGUAAAGGGCGCGUAGGCGGCCUGCUAAGUCGAACGUGAAAUCCCUGGGCUCAACCCAGGAACUGCGUCCGAUACUGGUUGGCUUGAAUCCGGGAGAGGGAUGCGGAAUUCCAGGUGUAGCGGUGAAAUGCGUAGAUAUCUGGAGGAACACCGGUGGCGAAGGCGGCAUCCUGGACCGGCAUUGACGCUGAGGCGCGAAAGCCAGGGGAGCAAACGGG